rnacentral:rRNA from 1 species
UACAGAGGUCCCGAGCGUUGUUCGGAUUCACUGGGCGUAAAGGGUGCGCAGGUGGGUUGGCAAGUUCGAUGUGAAAGCCCCGGGCUUAACCCGGGAAUGGCAUUGGAAACUGCUGAUCUGGAGGAUCGGAGGGGGGAUUGGAAUUCUUGGUGUAGCAGUGAAAUGCGUAGAUAUCAAGAGGAACACCAGUGGCGAAGGCGAGUCCCUGGACGAUACCUGACACUGAGGCACGAAAGCCAAGGGAGCAAACAGG